rnacentral:lncRNA from 1 species
AAAGAUAGUGAAGAUAAGAUUAUAAGUGCUAUAAGCUAAGGCCUCUCGAGCUCAGAACCCACAGCAAGAAGAAGCAAAGAGGAAAAUGGCCUCGGCCUCUGCAUCUUUACUCAAGUCAUCAUCCCCCGUUCUUGACAAGUCUGAGUGGGUUAAGGGCCAGGCCAUCCGCCAGUCUACUGUCUCAGUCCGCAGCCUCCCCAGUGGCCCCUCUGCCCUCACCAUCCGUGCUGGUUCCUAUGCCGAUGAGCUUGUCAAGACCGCGGUAUGUUUCAAUGUUUUACAUCAUUUUACAAGCUUGCAUGCCUUUAAAUAGAGUACCCUUUUGAUAAAAUAUAGGACAAUUGUUGGAAAGUUUAAGUUGUUUGUAUAGUUUGAUUGAUACCUAGAUGAAACCAUGAAUGAGUAUGUUGUACUUUUAUGACAAAACUUAAAUAAACUACUGCAAGUUUUAUACGAUAAGGUUGUUUGAGAGUUGUUGCAAUAAAAAGUAGCUUUGCACUUUUGCCGACAGACUAUCUUGAAAUAUAGUAAAAGUUGUAAAAGACCUUUGCAUGCAACCCUAUAGCUUGUAUCAAGAUGUAAAAUGUAGAUUAAAGUUGCAAAGAAUGAAAGAAGAUCAUUGUUCUUGGCUGCCAAUUAGUUGUCUUGUUAUAGCUACAUGAAAUAUUAAUUAAGUUAAUUUUGUUGGGCGAAUAGAAAACUGUUGCAUCACCAGGACGUGGAAUUUUGGCCAUGGAUGAGUCAAAUGCAACUUGUGGAAAACGCCUUGCCUCAAUUGGGUUAGAGAACACUGAGGCUAACCGCCAGGCAUACCGUACCCUCCUUGUUACAGCCCCUGGUCUUGGACAAUACAUCUCUGGUGCCAUCCUUUUUGAGGAGACUCUCUACCAAUCCACCACCGAUGGCAAGAAGAUGGUUGAUGUU